rnacentral:rRNA from 1 species
GAUGAACGCUGGCGGCGUGCUUAACACAUGCAAGUCGAGCGAGUGAGUUCUUCGGAACGAUCUAGCGGCGGACGGGUGAGUAACACGUGGGCAACCUGCCUCAUAGAGGGGAAUAGCCUCCCGAAAGGGAGAUUAAUACCGCAUAAAAUUAUCGAGUGGCAUCACAUGAUAAUCAAAGGAGUAAUCCGCUAUGAGAUGGGCCCGCGGCGCAUUAGCUAGUUGGUAAGGUAACGGCUGACCAAGGCGACGAUGCGUAGCCGACCUGAGAGGGUGAUCGGCCACAUUGGGACUGAGACACGGCCCAGACUCCUACGGGAGGCAGCAGUGGGGAAUAUUGCACAAUGGGGGAAACCCUGAUGCAGCAACGCCGCGUGAGUGAUGAAGGUCUUCGGAUUGUAAAGCUCUGUCUUUGGGGACGAUAAUGACGGUACCCAAGGAGGAAGCCACGGCUAACUACGUGCCAGCCGCCGCAGUAA